rnacentral:rRNA from 1 species
GACGAACGCUGGCGGCGUGCCUAAUACAUGCAAGUCGAACGAGAGCGACCGGUGCUUGCACUGGUCAAUCUAGUGGCGAACGGGUGAGUAGCACGUGGGUAACCUGCCCAUCAGAGGGGGAUAACAUCCGGAAACGGAUGCUAAAACCGCAUAGGUCUUCGAGCCGCAUGGCUUGAAGAGGAAAAGAGGCGCAAGCUUCUGCUGAUGGAUGGACCCGCGGUGCAUUAGCUAGUUGGUGAGGUAACGGCUCACCAAGGCCGUGAUGCAUAGCCGACCUGAGAGGGUGAUCGGCCACAUUGGGACUGAGACACGGCCCAAACUCCUACGGGAGGCAGCAGUAGGGAAUCUUCCGCAAUGGACGCAAGUCUGACGGAGCAACGCCGCGUGAGUGAAGAAGGUUUUCGGAUCGUAAAACUCUGUUGUUAGAGAAGAACAAGUGCUAGAGUAACUGUUAGCGCCUUGACGGUAUCUAACCAGAAAGCCACGGCUAACUACGUG